AUGGCGGUGGGGGGUGGGAGCAGAGUAGCAGGACUUCCAGGCGGCGCUCGCGUCAUGGUAGAGUGGAGGAGCUCGUCGUUCAUCAUCACCAUCCCCAAUCUAGGAUCUGAGAUAGAAAAGAAGAGAAAGAUUUAUUGGCGGUUAUUCUUUUGCUGGGACUCUCCUGAACUCACCGGAGAGAGCUGGGAUGGAGGCGACUCUGAGGAAGAUGAAGGCCAAGAGCGGUGCCGCCCCGGGGAGAGGAAGCCGGUGUUGUCGAGGACGAUACUGCUCCUCUGCGCCUGUGGCUUCAUCCUUGGCGUGCUCUUAACUGACCGGCCUGCAGCUGAUAUGUGUUCUAUGGGGAUGGUUUGGUCAGAUUCAGAGCGAUGCCGGAUUUAA
rnacentral:rRNA from 1 species